rnacentral:miRNA from 1 species
AGUUAUGUGUAAGUACAUCCCAUGCAAUAUUUGGGACAUACUUAUACUCAAC